CCCUUAGAUGUUCUGGGCCGCACGCGUGCUACACUGAUGCAUUCAACGAGUCUAAAACCUGGUCUGAUAGGGCUGGGUAAUCUUUUGAAAGUGCAUCGUGAUUGGGAUAGAUGAUUGCAAUUCUUCAUCUUCAACGAGGAAUGCCUAGUAAACGCAAGUCAUCAGCUUGCAUUGAUUACGUCCCUGCCCUUUGUACACACCGCCCGUCGCUCCUACCGAUUGAAUGAUCCGAUGAAUACCAUGGAUUGAGAGUACGAAUAGGUUCGCUUAUUUCUGCUGCUCGAGAAGUGGAGUAAAUCUUAUCAUUUAGAGGAAGGGGAAGUCGUAACA
rnacentral:rRNA from 1 species